rnacentral:rRNA from 1 species
GAUGAACGCUGGCGGCGUGCCUAAUACAUGCAAGUCGAGCGAAGAGACGAGGAGCUUUCUCCUCUGACAUUAGCGGCGGAAGGGUGAGUAAAACGUGGAUAAACUACCUAUAAGACUGGGAUAACUUCGGGAAACCGGAGCUAAUACCGGAUAAUAUAUUGAACCGCAUGGUUCAAUAGUGAAAGACGGUUUUGCUGUCACUUAUAGAUGGAUCCGCGCCGCAUUAGCCAGUUGGUAAGGUAACGGCUUACCAAGGCAACGAUGCGUAGCCGACCUGAGAGGGUGAUCGGCCACACUGGAACUGAGACACGGUCCAGACUCCUACGGGAGGCAGCAGUAGGGAAUCUUCCGCAAUGGGCGAAAGCCUGACGGAGCAACGCCGCGUGAGUGAUGAAGGUCUUCGGAUCGUAAAACUCUGUUAUUAGGGAAGAACAAAUGUGUAAGUAACUAUGCACGUCUUGACGGUACCUAAUCAGAAAGCCACGGCUAACUACGUG